rnacentral:rRNA from 1 species
GAUGAACGCUAGCGACAGGCUUAACACAUGCAAGUCGAGGGGCAGCAUGAUUUGUAGCAAUACAGAUUGAUGGCGACCGGCGCACGGGUGAGUAACGCGUAUGCAACUUACCUAUCAGAGGGGGAUAGCCCGGCGAAAGUCGGAUUAAUACCCCAUAAAACAGGGGUCCCGCAUGGGAAUAUUUGUUAAAGAUUCAUCGCUGAUAGAUAGGCAUGCGUUCCAUUAGGCAGUUGGCGGGGUAACGGCCCACCAAACCGACGAUGGAUAGGGGUUCUGAGAGGAAGGUCCCCCACAUUGGUACUGAGACACGGACCAAACUCCUACGGGAGGCAGCAGUGAGGAAUAUUGGUCAAUGGCCGAGAGGCUGAACCAGCCAAGUCGCGUGAAGGAAGAAGGAUCUAUGGUUUGUAAACUUCUUUUAUAGGGGAAUAAAGUGGAGGACGUGUCCUUUUUGUAUGUACCCUAUGAAUAAGCAUCGGCUAACUCCGUG